rnacentral:rRNA from 1 species
GACGAACGCUGGCGGCGUGCUUAACACAUGCAAGUCGAACGGAAAGACCCUGCUUUUGUGGGGUGCUCGAGUGGCGAACGGGUGAGUAACACGUGAGUAACCUGCCCUUGACUUUGGGAUAACUUCAGGAAACUGGGGCUAAUACCGGAUAGGAGCUCCUGCUGCAUGGUGGGGGUUGGAAAGUUUCGGCGGUUGGGGAUGGACUCGCGGCUUAUCAGCUUGUUGGUGGGGUAGUGGCUUACCAAUGCUUUGACGGGUAGCCGGCCUGAGAGGGUGACCGGCCACAUUGGGACUGAGAUACGGCCCAGACUCCUACGGGAGGCAGCAGUGGGGAAUAUUGCACAAUGGGCGGAAGCCUGAUGCAGCAACGCCGCGUGCGGGAUGACGGCCUUCGGGUUGUAAACCGCUUUCGCCUGUGACGAAGCGUGAGUGACGGUAAUGGGUAAAGAAGCACCGGCUAACUACGUG